rnacentral:rRNA from 1 species
GCCCACUCGGCCAUAGUGGGCGGGUAACACCCGGACUCGUCUCGAACCCGGAAGUUAAGCCGCCCACGUUAGAAGGGCCGUGGGAUCCGCGAGGACCCGCAGCCCUUCUAAGCCGAGAUGGGCUUC